rnacentral:rRNA from 1 species
UACAUGGGGUGCAAACGUUGCUCGGAAUUAUUGGGCGUAAAGCGCGCGUAGGCGGUUACUUAAGUCGGAUGUGAAAGCCUCGGCUUAACUGAGGAAGUGCACCCGAAACUGAGUAGCUAGAGUACGAAAGAGGGUCGCGGAAUUCCCGGUGUAGAGGUGAAAUUCGUAGAUAUCGGGAGGAACACCGGUGGCGAAGGCGGCGACCUGGUCCUUGACUGACGCUGAGGCGCGAAAGCGUGGGGAGCAAACAGGAUUGAG